rnacentral:rRNA from 1 species
AAACGAUGCCACCAGUAAUCCGUCUGAGUUCCUUAAAUGACUCGACGGGCGACUUCCGGGAAACCAAAGUUUUUAGGUUCCAGGGGAAGUAUGUUUGCAAAGAUGAAACUUAAAGAAAUUGACGGAAGGGCACCACCAGGAGUGGAGCCUGCGGCUUAAUUUGACUCAACACGGGAAAACUCACCCGGCCCGGACACUGGAAGGAUUGACAGAUUGAGAGCUCUUUCUUGAUUCAGUGGGUGGUGGUGCAUGGCCGUUCUUAGUUGGUGGAGCGAUUUGUCUGGUUAAUUCCGAUAACGAACGAGACUCUAGCCUACUAAAUAGAUCGUCGGCUUACAAACGCUGAUGAGACUUCUUAGAGGGACAGGCGGCGAUUCAGCCGCACGAAACAGAGCAAUAACAGGUCUGUGAUGCCCUUAGAUGUCCGGGGCCGCACGCGCGCUACACUGAAGUGAUCAGCGUGCAUUUUCAGCCUACUCUGCCAAGAGUGGGAAACCCAAUGAACCUUCUUCGUGAUUGGGAUAGGAGAUUGUAAUUAUUCUCCUUGAACGAGGAAUUCCCAGUAAGCGCGAGUCAUAAGCUCGCGUUGAUUACGUCCCUGCCCUUUGUACACACCGCCCGUCGCUACUACCGAUUGAAUGUUUUAGUGAGGUCUUCAGACUGGCCGGCGCAGCUGCUCU